rnacentral:rRNA from 1 species
UGAGCAACCUGCCCUUGACUCUGGAAUAACAGCUGGAAACAGCUGCUAAUACCGGAUACGACCUCCGAUGGCAUCAUCUGGAGGUGGAAAGCUCCGACGGUCAAGGAUGGGCUCGCGGCCUAUCAGCUUGUUGGUGAGGUAACGGCUCACCAAGGCUUCGACGGGUAGCCGGCCUGAGAGGGCGACCGGCCACACUGGGACUGAGACACGGCUCAGAUCCGUACGGGG